GACGAACGCUGGCGGCGUGCUUAACACAUGCAAGUCGAACGGAAAGGCCCUGCUUUUGUGGGGUGCUCGAGUGGCGAACGGGUGAGUAACACGUGAGUAACCUGCCCUUGACUUUGGGAUAGCUUCAGGAAACUGGGGCUAAUACCGGAUAGGAGCUCCUGCUGCAUGGUGGGGGUUGGAAAGUUUCGGCGGUUGGGGAUGGACUCGCGGCUUAUCAGCUUGUUGGUGGGGUAGUGGCUUACCAAGGCUUUGACGGGUAGCCGGCCUGAGAGGGUGACCGGCCACAUUGGGACUGAGAUACGGCCCAGACUCCUACGCGAGGCAGCAGUGGGGAAUAUUGCACAAUGGGCGGAAGCCUGAUGCAGCAACGCCGCGUGCGGGAUGACGGCCUUCGGGUUGUAAACCGCUUUCGCCUGUGACGAAGCGUGAGUGACGGUAAUGGGUAAAGAAGCACCGGCUAACUACGUG
rnacentral:rRNA from 1 species